rnacentral:pre_miRNA from 1 species
UUUGUACUCCCUCCGUCUGAAAAUACUUGUCAUCAAAAUGGAUAAAAAGAGAUGUAUCUAAAACUAAAAUACGUCUAGAUACAUUUCCUUUUAUCCAUUUUGAUGACAAGUAUUUCCGGACGGAGGGAGUAUUUU